rnacentral:rRNA from 1 species
UGUGADUUGCAGAAUUCAGUGAAUCAUCGAAUCUUUGAACGCACCUUGCGCUCCUUGGUAUUCCGAGGAGCAUGCCUGUUUGAGUGUCUUGA